rnacentral:lncRNA from 1 species
CAACAGGGUGUUCGAUUCAGUUCCAUGGACCAGCCUCCAUGUUUUGCAAGACCUGGUCAAUCGUUCCCUGCUUUUCCUCCACUCUUUGGGGUUCAGUCUUCCAGCUUGUAUUUACCUGAUGACAUUGAAGCUAAAAUCGGUAACCAGUUCGAAUCAAAUCCUUCCCCGAAUAAUCCUACAAUGGAUUGGGACCCUCAGGCAAUGCUGAGCAACUUAUCCUUCCUUGAGCAGAAGAUCAAGCAGGUAAAAGACAUCGUGCAGUCUAUGAGUAAUCGUGAGAGCCAAGUUGCUGGUGGUUCCAGCGAGGCACAAGCAAAGCAGCAGCUUGUCACUGCUGAUCUCACUUGUAUUAUAAUUCAGCUUAUUUCAACAGCUGGUUCCUUGCUUCCUUCGAUGAAGAACCCAAUCAGCAGCAACCCGGCACUCAGACAUCUCAGUAACACACUUUGUGCUCCUAUGAUCCUGGGCACCAAUUGUAACCUGCGACCAAGCGCAAACGACGAAGCCACAAUUCCUGACAUUAGCAAGACCCAUGACUAUGAGGAGCUGAUGAAUAGCCUUAAUACUACUCAGGCAGAAAGCGAUGAGAUGAUGAACUGCCAAAAUCCUUGUGGUGGGGAAGGGUCAGAACCGAUUCCAAUGGAAGACCAUGAUGUGAAGGAGAGUGAUGAUGGUGGUGAGAGAGAGAAUCUCCCCCCUGGGUCUUAUGUAGUAUUGCAAUUAGAGAAGGAGGAGAUUUUAGCACCAC